rnacentral:rRNA from 1 species
GUACACUCCUGCGGGAGGCAGCAGUGGGGAAUUUUGGACAAUGGGCGAAAGCCUGAUCCAGCAAUGCCGCGUGUGUGAAGAAGGCCUUCGGGUUGUAAAGCACUUUUGUCCGGAAAGAAAUCCUUGGCUCUAAUACAGUCGGGGGAUGACGGUACCGGAAGAAUAAGCACCGGCUAACUACGUGCCAGCAGCCGCGGUAAUACGUAGGGUGCGAGCGUUAAUCGGAAUUACUGGGCGUAAAGCGUGCGCAGGCGGUUUGCUAAGACCGAUGUGAAAUCCCCGGGCUCAACCUGGAACUGCAUUGGUGACUGGCAGGCUAGAGUAUGGCAGAGGGGGGUAGAAUUCCACGUGUAGCAGUGAAAUGCGUAGAGAUGUGGAGGAAUACCGAUGGCGAAGGCAGCCCCCUGGGCCAAUACUGACGCUCAUGCACGAAAGCGUGGGGAGCAAACAGGAUUAGAUACCCCAGUAGUCCCAUGA